UACGGAGGGUGCGAGCGUUGUCCGGAAUCAUUGGGCGUAAAGGGCGCGUAGGUGGCCCGGUCAGUUCGUGGUGAAAGCGCGGGGCUCAACCCUGCGUCGGCCAUGAAUACUGCCGCGGCUGGAGCACUGUAGAGGCAGGCGGAAUUCCGGGUGUAGCGGUGGAACGCGUAGAGAUCCGGAAGAACACCGGUGGCGAAGGCGGCCUGCUGGGCAGUUGCUGACACUGAGGCGCGAAAGCGUGGGGAGCGAUCCGG
rnacentral:rRNA from 1 species